CUAGGGGAGUUGUUGCUGGGAGAAUGCAAGCUUCAGACGUACCUGAAGGAGAAUCCCAUCAAACAGGGGGCCAGUCCCAGGGGCCCGCGACCUAAACUGGUGGAGGUCAGGAAACACCUGACUGCUGCUCUGGACAGAGGGAACCUCAAGGCCGAUUACCUCCAGGAAGCCAGCCUGUUGAUGGCCAAGCUGUGCUAUGUGGAGGGAGAACACCGAGACGCUUUAGGUCACUACAGAAGGGUGAUCCUGGAGGACAUGCAGCUGGGGGGGGCUCCUGUGUACAGGCUGUCCAUGAUAGCAGAGGCGUACGCUACUA